GUUUUGUAGGCUUAAGUUCGCAUUUGAGUACCUGGCUUCGAACCAGGUGGUCGGGGGUUCGAAUCCCUCCGGGCG
rnacentral:tRNA from 1 species